AGAAGUCGCCGCGGUAACACGGAGGGUGCUAGCGUUGUUCGGAUUUACUGGGCGUAAAGCGCACGUAGGCGGAUCGAUCAGUCAGGGGUGAAAUCCCAGAGCUCGACUCUGGAACUGCCUUUGAUACUGUCGAUCUGGAGUAUGGAAGAGGUGAGUGGAAUUCCGAGUGUAGAGGUGAAAUUCGUAGAUAUUCGGAGGAACACCAGUGGCGAAGGCGGCUCACUGGUCCAUUACUGACGCUGAGGUGCGAAAGCGUGGGGAGCAAACAGGAUUAGAUACCCCAGUAGUCCCUGUCUCUUAUAA
rnacentral:rRNA from 1 species